rnacentral:tRNA from 1 species
CUCUGUAGUGUUUAACGGUAGCAUGCGUGGUUUGGGACCACGUGGUUCUGGUUCGAAUCCAGACAGAG